AAUAUUGCACAAUGGAGGGAACUCUGAUGCAGCGACGCCGCGUGAGCGAUGAAGGCCUUCGGGUCGUAAAGCUCUGUCCUAUGGGACGAUAAUGACGGUACCAUAGGAGGAAGCCCCGGCUAACUACGUGCCAGCAGCCGCGGUAAUACGUAGGGGGCGAGCGUUGUCCGGAAUUACUGGGCGUAAAGGGUACGCAGGCGGUCAAAUAAGUCAGAUGUGAAAGGCGUAGGCUUAACCUAUGUAAGCAUUUGAAACUGUUUGGCUUGAGUUAAGGAGAGGAAAGUGGAAUUCCUGGUGUAGCGGUGAAAUGCGUAGAUAUCAGGAGGAAUAUCAGUGGCGAAGGCGACUUUCUGGACUUAAACUGACGCUGAGGUACGAAAGCGUGGGGAGCAAACA
rnacentral:rRNA from 1 species